rnacentral:lncRNA from 1 species
UGAAAACACAGGGAUGUGAAAAUACGAUAAUAUUGAAUCAAUAUUAGAUCAUAACCACGAGAAGUUGUCUGCCGAAGUUUACAAUAGAAAAGUCGUAAGCAAUCCAAUAAAAAGAGCAGCCGUGGAAGAUCUCAGCGAAAAACCAAUGAAGCUCAUCUGUAAAGAACUUAAGAAGACAAAUAUAGAGACAUUUACUAUCAAUGAUAUCAAUAAGGUGAGACAAAAUUUAUAUUAUGCUAGAACCACUAAUUCUUUAAUUAAACUUCCCAAAAAUAUAUCUGAAUUUCAUCAAGCUCUUGAUUUAUCUUCUAUUAUUA